ACGCUGGUUUUCAUUUCUGCAGUUCGAGCCUGGCGUUAUUAUGAAAGUUUCUGUAUAGCCUCGUGGUCUAAUUUCCCCACCCUGCUGCUUAAAAUCUCUCUCUCUAGACUGCCAUAACAAUCUCUAGACUGCCAUAACAACGGCUCUCUCUCUCUCUAGAAGUGUGAGUGUGAGAGCAGGCAUGGGGAAGGUAGGAGAUGUGGCUUUCAAGGUUUUCUCGGCGGGGCUUGGCGUCGCCACCAUUUACCUCACUGCCACCUUCUCUGUUAAUGUCUACAGAGGUUAUUCUUGGCACCGCGCUCAAUCUAAAAAUGGGAAGGAAGAUUCUCACAAUCAAAGCCAAUGAGGACAUUUUUUUUGAGGACUUACUGAUGCUUGCCUCGGUCAACAUCUAGUGCAUUAAUAUACCAAGAAUACUGUGACUCUUUUUGGAGCUUUCAAUGGGAAUGUCUCAAUUUAAAUGAGAAAGUUGAUCCCCUCUUGCUCUUCAAAUAGAGCCUGAAAGCCUAAAUGGGGCGUUCAUGAUCUCGAUUAUGAAAAUGUGAUCAAUUGUUUCAUUAUUGUUCACUUUUUGCUCCUCUCUGUUCUCUAUGGGGCUUGAGGCAGGAAUAACAAUCGUUGAAGGGAUCUAUGCAUGUCAUUUUCAUUGUAUAUUCAUGGUUUAACUCAUUCAAUUAGAUAUCAGGUCAUAGCCCUCAUUUUAUUUA